UACGUAGGGUGCGAGCGUUGUCCGGAAUUAUUGGGCGUAAAGCGCGUGUAGGCGGCUCGGUAAGUCUGCUGUGAAAGUCCAGGGCUCAACCCUGGAAUGCCGGUGGAUACUGUCGAGCUCGAGUCCGGAAGAGGCGAGUGGAAUUCCUGGUGUAGCGGUGAAAUGCGCAGAUAUCAGGAGGAACACCAAUGGCGAAGGCAGCUCGCUGGGACGGUACUGACGCUGAGACGCGAAAGCGUGGGGAGCAAACAGG
rnacentral:rRNA from 1 species